AUUGAACGCUGGCGGCAGGCUUAACACAUGCAAGUCGAGCGGGGGAAGGUGCCUUGCUACCGCACCUAGCGUCGGACGGGUGAGUAAUGCUUAGGAAUCUGCCUAUUAGUGGGGGACAACAUCUCGAACGGGAUGCUAAUCCCUCAUACGUCCGACGGGACAAAGCAGGGGAUCGUCGUACCUUGCGCUUAUAGAUGAGCCUAAGUCGGAUUAGCUAGUUGGUGGGGUAAAGGCCUACCAAGGCGACGAUCUAUAGCGGGUCUGAGAGGAUGAUCCGCCACACUGGGACUGAGACCCGGACCAGACUCCUACGGGAGGCAGCAGUGGGGGAUAUUGGACAAUGGGGGGAACCCUGAUCCAGCCAUGCCGCGUGUGUGAAGAAGGCCUUAUGGUUGUAAAGCACUUUAAGCGAGGAGGAGGCUACUCUAGUUAAUACCUAGGGAUAGUGGACGUUACUCGCAGAAUAAGCACCGGCUAACUCUGUGCCAGCAGCCGCGGUAA
rnacentral:rRNA from 1 species